rnacentral:rRNA from 1 species
UGGGGGAUAUUGCACAAUGGGCGAAAGCCUGAUGCAGCGACGCCGCGUGGGGGAUGAAGGCCUUCGGGUUGUAAACUUCUUUUGCUCUGAACAAGGCAUGCUAAUGGGUGUGUUGAGUGUAGGGGGUGAUUAGCGCCGGCUAACUACGUGCCAGCAGCCGCGGUAAUACGUAGGGCGCGAGCGUUGUCCGGAAUUAUUGGGCGUAAAGGGCUUGUAGGUGGCUGGUUGCGUCUGUCGUGAAAGCUCAUGGCUUAACUGUGGGUUUGCGGUGGGUACGGGCUGGCUUGAGUGCAGUAGGGGAGGCUGGAAUUCCUGGUGUAGCGGUGGAAUGCGCAGAUAUCAGGAGGAAUACCGGUGGCGAAGGCGGGUCUCUGGGCUGUUACUGACACUGAGGAGCGAAAGCAUGGGGAGCGAACAGG